ensembl:snoRNA SNORD58 Small nucleolar RNA SNORD58
UGGCAGUGAUGACUAUCUUAGGACACCUUUGGAGUAACUAUGAAACAAAAAUCUUUCUUCUGAGCCAU